rnacentral:lncRNA from 1 species
AAAGAAGAAGGCUUUAUGGCUAGUGCGGCAACAUAUUACAUACCCCACCUUAUGCAUUGAUUUGCUAAAAAGAGCUAAUGGACAGGAUAGCUUAGUGUAUGAGUACCAAGUAUCAUGGAAUAAGAUAUUUCUUUUUCAAUGGUGGUCUGAAAGGCGACCACUUUGCUUUGUUUAAAAGAAGGCAAAAAAGCAGCAUGUAAAUAUAUAUGUGGCCUGCACAAUA